rnacentral:rRNA from 1 species
CCUACGGGAGGCAGCAGUGAGGAAUAUUGGUCAAUGGCCGGAAGGCUGAACCAGCCAUGCCGCGUGAAGGUCAGUGCCCUAUGGGCGUUAAACUUCUUUUGUGCGGGAGCAAUAAUGGUCACGUGUGGCCAGACGAGAGUACCGUACGAAUAAGCAUCGGCUAACUCCGUGCCAGCAGCCGCGGUAAUACGGGGGAUGCGAGCGUUAUCCGGAUUUAUUGGGUUUAAAGGGUGCGUAGGCUGUGAGGUAAGUCAGCGGUGAAAUGCCCCCGGUCAACGGGGUGGAGUGCCAUUGAUACUGGCGUGCUGGAAUGCGGAUGCCGUGGGAGGAAUGUGUGGUGUAGCGGUGAAAUGCAUAGAGAUCACGCAGAACACCGAUUGCGAAGGCAUCUCACGGAUCCGCGAUUGACGCUGAUGCACGAAAGCGUGGGUAUCAAACAGGAUUAGAUACCCCAGUAGUC